rnacentral:rRNA from 1 species
AUGAGGAGCGGCGAGACCCUCAACGAGCUUGCCAUGCGCAUGAACAGGAUCGCCAACAAGCUACGCACGCUCAGCGAGAACCUCAACGAGGUGAAGGUCAUGAAGAAGCUUCUCUGCAUUGUUCCGUCCAAGUAUACCCAAGUAGCUAUUGCCAUUGAACAUCUUCUUGAUCUUAAAACCAUGUCCAUGGAAGAGCUUGUGGGAAGGCUCAAAACGGCGGAGGACCGGAGUGACUUAGACGAGGGCGGCAGCAACUACGACCAGGGUGGUGGGAGUCGCCUGCUCCUCCCAGAGGAGGAGUGGCUUGCUCGUCACCGCAGUAGCUCCAUCAAGAAGAAGAGAAACUUCGACAUUCGCAAGGUCCGCUGCUAG